rnacentral:rRNA from 1 species
UCGGGAAUUUUGGGCAAUGGGCGAAAGCCUGACCCAGCAACGCCGCGUGAGGGAUGAAGUAUUUCGGUAUGUAAACCUCGAAAGAAUGGGAAGAAUAAAUGACGGUACCAUUUAUAAGCUCCGGCUAACUACGUGCCAGCAGCCGCGGUAAUACGUAGGGAGCAAGCGUUGUUCGGAUUUACUGGGCGUAAAGGGCGCGUAGGCGGCGCGGUAAGACACUUGUGAAAUCUCUGAGCUUAACUCAGAACGGCCAAGUGAUACUGCUGUGCUAGAGUGCGGAAGAGGCAACCGGAAUUCUUGGUGUAGCGGUGAAAUGCGUAGAUAUCAAGAGGAACACCUGAGGCGAAGGCGGGUUGCUGGGCCGACACUGACGCUGAUGCGCGAAAGCCAGGGGAGCAAACG